rnacentral:rRNA from 1 species
CAGCAGCCGCGGUAAUACCGGCGGCCCGAGUGGCGGUCACUAUUAUUGGGCUUAAAGCGUCCGUAGCCGGGUUGGGAAGUCCUCCGGGAAAUCUGGCCGCUUAACGGUCAGAAUGCCGGAGGAUACUCCCAGCCUAGGGAGCGGGAGAGGCCGAGGGGAUUCCCGGAGUAGGGGGGAAAUCCUAUAAUCCCGGGAGGACCACCAGUGGCGAAGGCGCUCGGCUGGAACGCGUCCGACGGUGAGGGACGAAGGCCAGGGGAGCAAACCGGAUUAGAUACCCGGGUAGUCCUGGCUGUAAACGAUGCGGACUUUGUGUCGGACAAGCUAUGAGCUUGUCCGGUGCCGGAGGGAAACCGUUAAGUCCGCCGCCUGGGGAGUACGGCCGCAAGGCUGAAACUUAAAGGAAUUGGCGGG